rnacentral:rRNA from 1 species
GUGGGGAAUUUUGGACAAUGGGCGAAAGCCUGAUCCAGCAAUGCCGCGUGUGUGAAGAAGGCCUUCGGGUUGUAAAGCACUUUUGGCAGGGAAGAAACAGUGCGUGCUAAUACCAUGCGCGAAUGACGGUACCUGCAGAAUAAGCACCGGCUAACUACGUGCCAGCAGCCGCGGUAAUUCGUAGGGUGCAAGCGUUAAUCGGAAUUACUGGGCGUAAAGCGUGCGCAGGCGGCUUUGUAAGACGGAUGUGAAAGCCCCGGGCUCAACCUGGGAAUUGCAUUCGUGACGGGAAGGCUAGAGGUUGUCGGAGGGAGGUGGAAUUCCGAGUGUAGCAGUGAAAUGCGUAGAGAUGCGGAGGAACACCGAUGGCGAAGGCAGCCUCCUGGGAUAACACUGACGCUCAGGCACGAAAGCGUGGGGAGCAAACAGGAUUAGAAACCCUUGUAGUCC